rfam:Morus notabilis contig4626, whole genome shotgun sequence.
UAUCCAUGGUGGGAACACAGAUUUAACAGAUCUUUAAAAUGCUCCCAAGCUUUAUAGAGAGUUUCAUUUCCUUUUGAGUAAAAUUCGAGAUCUGUCAUUUCAAAUU